rnacentral:misc_RNA from 1 species
CAGGAAUCGCAAGACUCCCUGAAACCCUCGCGAACCUACCUACACGUUGCCUCGGCGGGCGCCUGGCCUUCGCGCCGGGCGCUGAGCCCGCCGGCGGCCUACCACUCUGUCUCUGCAGCGUUGCCUCUCUGAGUACUUUAGAAACGCAUCA